GCUAAGCACUUACAACUGUUUGCAGAGGAAACAGAGACUUCAUAACUACAUCUCAGUCUCAUCUGCAAAGAAGUAAGUGCUUUGC
rnacentral:pre_miRNA from 1 species